rnacentral:lncRNA from 1 species
AUUUUGACCUUGAGAUAUCUACAAAAUAAACAAAUCUUCUCUACCUUUUUGGUACCCAAAUAUUCUUGGGUCCAUUUGGGUUAGUACCAUAUAAAUCACAUUUCUUUACCCAUAUUUGUUUUAUUCUAAUUUUAUUACAAUUAGAAUCAAAAUGACCUUUAAAACCACAUUUUCUAAAAGUAACAAACGGUGAACAAUAAAGUGGCUUAAACCUUGGUUUACUAUUAAU